UACGAAGGGGGCUAGCGUUGCUCGGAAUUACUGGGCGUAAAGCGCACGUAGGCGGAUCUUUAAGUCCGGGGUGAAAUCCUGGAGCUCAACUCCAGAACUGCCUUUGAUACUGGGUAUCUUGAGUAUGGAAGAGGUAAGUGGAAUUGCGAGUGUAGAGGUGAAAUUCGUAGAUAUUCGCAGGAACACCAGUGGCGAAGGCGGCUUACUGGUCCAUUACUGACGCUGAGGUGCGAAAGCGUGGGGAGCAAACAGG
rnacentral:rRNA from 1 species